CUGCGGACUAUCAGCUUGUUGGUGAGGUAAUGGCUUACCAAGGCAAUGACGGGUAGCUGGUCUGAGAGGAUGAUCAGCCACAAUGGGACUGACACACGGCCCAGACUCCUACGGGAGGCUGCAGCAGGGAAUAUUGCGCAAUGAGCGAAAGCUUGACGCAGCGACACCGCGUGUGGGAUGACGGAUCUAGGUUUGUAAACCACUUUCAGGAGGGAAGAAAAUGACGGUACCUCCACAAGAAGCCCCGGCCAACUACGUGCCAGCAGCCGCGGUAAUACGUAGGGGGCGAGCGUUGUCCGGAUUUAUUGGGCGUAAAGAGCUCGUAGGCGGUUCAACAAGUCGGUCGUGAAAGUUCAGGACUCAACCCUGAAAUGUCGAUCGAUACUGUAGUGACUAGGAUACGGUAGAGGUGAGUGGAAUUCCGAGUGUACCGGUG
rnacentral:rRNA from 1 species